rnacentral:tRNA from 1 species
CGGAGUGGCGGAAUUGGUAGACGCAGUUGAUUCAAAAUCAACCGCCUUGGGGUGUGCCGGUUCGAGUCCGGCCUUCGGCA